rnacentral:rRNA from 2 species
AAAAUUUAAAAUUAUAAUACUAAAAUAGUAAAUAAUUAUUUAUUAAAACUUAAAUAAUUUGGCGGUAUUUUAGUUCAUUUAGAGGAAUCUGUUUAAUAAUUGAUAUUCCACGAAUAAAUUUACUUAAUUUAUAAUUUUGUAUAUCGUUGUUAUAUAAAUAUUUUUUAAUAAAAUUAAUAUUUAAAAAUUAUUAUAAAAUUUAAAUCAAAUCAAGAUGCAGAAUAUAAUUAAGAAUAUAAUGGAUUACAAUAAAAUUAUUUAAAUGAAUAUUAAUUUGUAAAAGUUAAUUGAAAGUGGAUUUAAAUGUAAUUUUAUUUAAUUUAUUAAAAUGAUUAAAAAUUAAAAUAUGU